rnacentral:lncRNA from 1 species
GGACUGAGAUACCGUGAGGACAAGAGGUAAUUACCAGUGUCUCCUAGUUUCAAUGGUGGAUCCAUCAGGAUUUGCCAGCAGAGGAUUUAGAUUUAAUAGGGUUUACAAGUUAGUAUUUUAAUUGUUGCGCCCAGAGAUUGAGUUACCAUUAUUUCUGAACUAAGUUUGUGUUGUGUUUUCCUUCACAUGGAAGCUUGUCUGGGUUCAAGAGAGAAAGGUACUGCUGGCAAAAUGUGGGUUUGCCUGAGGGGCACCACAAAGGUCAUGAGGGUUGUGAAGCAUGGGGCUGGUGUGGUAGCUACCCGCCAGUGGGAAUUUAGCAAGCUGAGUGGAGAGAUUUUGGAGCUCUGAGUCAGAGUCUCCAUGAGAUUAAAAAAAAACAGGUUGGCCAUUGUCCACCAGUGCAUGGCUGGCCAGGCUGCUGGGGCACGGGAACUUGUCAUUCUUUUUAAUAUUUCCCACAACACUUAGACUGGAGCGCUGGCAAUAAAGAUGAAACACUAUUUCUGUAUAGAUUUACAUCACAAUGAUGAGAUGUAAGGAAUGAAAAUAAAAGGGAGUUACAGCCAUUCCCAAGUUCUAAUUUACAGAGCUUAGUAUAUGGGUGAGCCAGUCACUCAGACAGCAAAGGGCAACAAACAUAAGGGUGAGUUGAAAGUAAAGACUGUUUAUACUUUGAAACAAGUCUGAGCUUAGUAAACCUAGACCUCAGCUGAAUGCCAGGAACUAGGGAAGGGGGAGAACUAGGGACUAUUUUUUUUUUAAGAUUUAUUUAUGUAAUGUAUGCAUGUGAGUGCUGCAUUGGCAUGUGUGCUUGCAUGGCAAAAGAGGACAUUAGAUCCUGUUACAGAUGGUUGUGAACCGCCCUGUGGUGCUGGGAGGUGGCAGGCAGAUCUUUGUGAGUUCAAGGUCAGUCUGGUAUCUAUGGAGAGUUCCAGGCCAAGGGUUACAAAGAGUAAAUAGUAAGGACCUGUCUCAGAAAGCC